rnacentral:tRNA from 1 species
GUAUGAAUGAGCGCCCGGUGCGCAGCGAAGGGUUACUUCUGGUGAUUCUCAGGUUCGAUUCCUGAGGCCGGUUCCGGCCGGUCUCGUCCACC